ACAACAAUUACUGAAAGCAGCCUCUAAUUUUUGAAGUAAAUCAUUAAAGAAAACGUACAUCAAUACAAUAAAGAAAUCACCUGGGAAGCUUGCCCUGCUAGACAUUUGAUAUUUAAUUUGUCUGAUUUGUGUGACCCAGAAAUUACCGACUUCUUUGUGUGUUGCACUUGAUAGGCUUGCAGCAAAUUCACCUACAGUUCAGUGUUAAAGAGGCCUGAAAAACCAGAAUCACACCAUGGUUGUAUGUCAAUGAAUUGGUAUUUUUUUGAGUAUUUUAGUACCAACACCAUGGCUGCACAGGAACCAUAUGCAUAUUUAAUUCAAGACUCAUUUGGAACUGCGCAUGCAGAGAUUUCCACCUCACUGCAGCAGAUGGGUAUCCAGUGAUACUCUGAAAUAAGAGUUAGAAGAUUCUGUGUUCAGCACACCCUUAAGCAAAAAAGACAUAUUGGACAAAGAACUGGAGAGGGCUGUGAUUGGAUCAAUACAUGAGAUAAGUUUUCAUUUUGGUUUUCACAUUUUAUAUCCUGCCUAUCUUUCAAACGUUAGCAAAUGGCUAUAUUUUUCUUAACAGACGGGCCCAUCUUAUGGCUGUAGGUUCAUGAGGAAUGCGUGCACGAGAAUGUCAAGUUGGAUAAAUCCUAAGAGUGAUUCAUCAGCCAUACCAUGAAUUCCGAUGCCAGAAUCUUCGAGUGGUUAACAAUCUAGCAAACUACCCAUUGAAACAGGCCCUGGUACAUCUGUUGGAUCAAGAAGUCAUCAACAUGGAGGAAAAUAUGACUAAAUUUUGUAUCUCAAACCUGACAUGUCAAGUAAGCCAAAUUGGACUAGGCAGAGAGGUGCAAUAAUGGAAUGUGCACAGGAUCCCAAGCCGUGGGAUACUAUCAUUGAACUCGCAGCAGGUGGCUGUCCAGCUAAAAUCUUGGAGGAGCUGCCGCCCAGUGCUUCUGCAAUGGCAAACAUGUAUGAGCAAGAUCUGGGAUCCUUGUUGACUUGGGUGUCAGUUAAUGGAACUGACCCCUUUUCAUCUGAUGAGGAUAGAUGUCACGCAGAACAGGAUUUUGCAGAGAACUACCCUGACAUCUCUCUUCUUUUUAAUUAUGUGGUAAACAAUGACUAUUCUCCUUUCCAAGAUGCCUUGUUGUUCAUCAUGAGUGUAACCCAAUGAUA